GCCUACGGGGGCAGCAGUGGGGGAUAUUGCACAAUGGGGGCAACCCUGAUGCAGCGACGCCGCGUGAGCGAUGGAGUACUUCGGUAUGUAAAGCUCUGUCAGCAGGGAAGAGAAUGACGGUACCUGACCAAGAAGCCCCGGCUAAAUACGUGCCAGCAGCCGCGGUAAUACGUAUGGGGCAAGCGUUAUCCGGAUUUACUGGGUGUAAAGGGAGCGUAGGCGGCAGGGCAAGCCUGAUGUGAAAGCCCGGGGCUCAACCCCGGGACUGCUUUGGAAACUGUUCAACUGGAGUGCUGGAGAGGUAA
rnacentral:rRNA from 1 species